UACAGAGGUCUCAAGCGUUGUUCGGAUUCAUUGGGCGUAAAGGGUGCGUAGGCGGCGGGGUAAGUCGGAUGUGAAAUCCCAGGGCUCAACCCUGGAACUGCAUUCGAUACUGCCUUGCUAGAGUACUGGAGAGGAGACUGGAAUUUACGGUGUAGCAGUGAAAUGCGUAGAUAUCGUAAGGAAGACCAGUGGCGAAGGCGAGUCUCUGGACAGUUACUGACACUGAGGAGCGAAAGCCAGGGGAGCAAACGGG
rnacentral:rRNA from 1 species